GGAGGAGGAGGAACCGAGAGUGCCCGACCCGGUGGCUUUUAGGGGGGGGAGGCCACUCGCUGCUUAGCGCUCCUCCACCCGCCGCCGCUCCGCCGGGCUGGCCACUGCCCGGCCGCUGCCCCUCCCGUCCCCGGCACCUACCUCGAGCUCCCCCGCGGGCUGCGGGGCUCAGCAACUCGGAGCAGGAGGCAGCUGGGCGGGCAGAAGCACCGGGGAGUCGCGCCGUGACCGGGUGGCGGGGGGAGACGGGAGGCAGAGAGGAGGAAAAAAAAGGCAAGAGAACAGCGAGGGCUGACUCUGGGAGCGGGUCUCGGCGCCCAGGACCCGCACGCCCCGGCGGCCACGCGUGGGUGCAGAGCUCAGGGCCGCGCGGAAGAUGCACACGACGCAGAAGGACACCACCUACACCAAGAUCUUCGUCGGGGGCUUGCCCUACCACACCACCGACUCCAGCCUGCGCAAGUACUUCGAAGUCUUCGGGGACAUCGAGGAGGCGGUGGUGAUCACCGACCGGCAGACGGGCAAAUCCCGGGGAUACGGCUUUGUCACCAUGGCCGACAGAGCCGCUGCCGAAAGAGCGUGUAAGGACCCCAACCCCAUCAUCGAUGGUAGGAAGGCCAACGUCAACCUGGCGUACCUGGGUGCCAAGCCGAGGAUCAUGCAGCCAGGUUUUGCCUUUGGUGUUCAACAGCUUCAUCCAGCUCUCAUACAGAGGCCUUUUGGCCGAGUCAAGUUGUGUGGGACGCGUCCCCUCCACCUAAGCAGCCCGGUCCCGUAUGACCCUAUGAUAAAACAAGGAGGGAUCGUUUACAGUUAAGAUAACUGAUCAGAAGGAUAUGAUGAUAAGAGGUGGAAUAGUUCUGUUUGGAAUUAAACUCUGUAACCAGUAGACUCAAACACAAACAAGCUAAAAUGGCAUAUAAUUAGGAGGUGAGAUCUACUUGAAACUUCCGAUACAGCGUCACUUCACUAACACACACUGGCUGAGAAACUCAUUGCAAAAUAAUGCAUUUUGCUAAUUAAUGAAAAAGCUAACAAUAAAGUAGGGAACAUGUAUCACGACUGUAUUUUGUUCCUUUGACUGGAAUAGCUUCAGUCUAGUGUACCCAGCUGCUACAGUUUGCUUCAUCAAACCUGUAGGUAACUGUUCCCGUCCUCAGAACUAAGUUUACCUAGAAGCUUUAUGCACUUUUAUAGGAGAGUGUUUGCUCUCCUGACACAUUUGGAGAGGUUGUGGAAAACUCUGUCUUUUUUUCCUUCUUCCUCUGCUGUAGUUUGUUUGACUUCUUGGAGGUGUGAGGAGACAGCGGUGUGUGUGCAGUGCUCAGUGCGUGACGCCAGCACUGAGGAGGGCAGGAGGUAGAAUGCGUGGUCUGCAGAGCUGUUACAGCCCUGCUGCAAAGAGGAACCAGUGAACUGCCCAGGGACCGGCCAUGGAGAGAGUAUUUGCUGAGCAUAACAGAAAAGGAGAACCUGUGCAAUCUGUUGCUUAAAGGACUAUGCAAGUGUAGGGCUCCUUCUUGCUUUCCCUAUCCCGAGCCAACAAUAGAUCAUUUAAGUCUUGCUUAGGUCAGGGGAAUUCUUCCAGCGGGCUGAAUAAGGUUUUAUUUCUAAUGCAAAGUAUAUAAAUCUGAGGAGAGGAAUGUUGGUACCAGGGCCAUGAAUAUAUCAAAUUAGUCAUUUUUAAUCCUUGCUUUUUGCCUUUCUUUUGCUAUAUACAGACAAAGGAGAUUACUAAAUCUGUUUCCCCCUGAAAAUUUCCAACAAUCUGUGUAUUUUCUAAGGGAUGUAGUUCAGAUUAGGAAGGACAGCAUUCAUUAGGGUAAAUGAAAACCUUCAUUCCCUGUUUCCUUGUCAUUUCCUUGACAGUUCUGCUGGGCUGUUUCAGUGCUUACUUGAAUCUACAUUUAUUAAGAGCUCACUCAGAUGAUGCUGCAUGGAUUGCACUGGAAUAUUUGGUCACUUUAAAACCUCUCUUCCCCCCCAUGCAGUUGCACUUUAAAAAAACUAUAUUUUACUAAUAUUCUCUGUUAAAUGGAUUGUAGUGAUGAUUCACUACCCACCCUCUGCUAAUCCUUACACAGAAACUGCAAGUUUUAUUUCAUUUUGCUGUUUCCCUAUCAAUCAGGGCACAGAUUAGUAAUGUGCUGCUAUACUCUGGAAUGGUCAGCAGUGUUUUGUCAUGGUUGCCCACCUAACAAGCAAGAGUCUGAAAGUAAUUGGAGUAUGUCAAAUUACUUCACUGAAAAGAUGCAGAAAUACAGUAUUCUAAAUUAAAUACAACAUUUAUUGAAGUGGAGGGAGCUAGCAACUAGGUUAGCUUCAAUGCAUGAAAGAAGCUGUUUGGUCACCAGGACUGGUUAUCUACAGCUCUGUUUUCAGAGUUGUUUAUUGAAAUACUGCCUCUGAAUUCAAUAGGAAUUUAAGGAGAGGGAAAAAUAACUUUGCCUCCUAAAAUGGGUUUUCUCACUUUGCUUACACAAUUUUUGUUUCAAUAUUGGUAGAAAAUUAUGGGGUUAUGCAGAGGGACUGGUGUAGGAUAAUACAUUACUCAAAGUUUAUCCCUUUAUUGUUUCCUAGAACUUGUAGUACCUCAAUCACAAUGAGGACAUUCCUAUUCCCACUCUUUUUAGUAAGACCAGAGUUAAAUCCCAAGUUGAUAAGCUGAUACUGCCUGCUUGUUACUGUCUUCUGUAGUUCCAUCUAUUGUUAGGCACUUCUGCCUUCCUUAAGAGAGGAGAAGCCCUCUCUUAGUUUGUGAUCAGGAGACCUGUGUAGCAUUAGACUACUCCUAACCUAGGGAACCUAGGGAACGAAGCCAGAGCAGUCAGAAGUGAAUCCACAUAAUGCUAAAUGUCCUCUUGCUGUUAUCAGGCAAGUUCAAAAUUCAAAAGGGAGCACCUUAAGGGUAAGCCUUGAUGCUUCUGUGACCUAUUUUUAUUAUCAGGAAAGCUGUUCAUUGACUAAAUUCUACUUGGUAGUUAUGCUCACAAAACCUGACCCUGUUCUGAAGCAAAACAUGUCAUUCAAAGUUAAAUUAACCACCUUCUCAAUUGUGUAGUGUAGAGAUUUCAAUUAUGUGUUACUAAGGCUGAAUUUCUGCAUGACACAGCUCUCUGCAUUAGUCUAAACUGUCCUUUCCUUUUAAACAAUUAGCUGUCACUUUAUUAUUGCUUAUAGGAUUAUUUUAGGAGGUCUUAGUUAAAAACACAUCUUCUGUUAUAACAACAGGGGAAGUUGUAAGGCUCACAGCAGGUGUGGAUGUCAUUUCAUUUUGAAUAUCCCAAAGCUAGAGUUGCUGGUGAAGUUAAAUGUGGCUUUCCUUUUCCUUUAGUGCAAGAGCUUAAUACAAUGAAUAUGUGUUCCAAAAUAAAAACUAAAGUCAGGAAAGAAAGCUCAAACCAUGUGCAGUUCCCACACUCUUACUUUCAAGAACAAAGCAGCAGCUUUUUACUCAAAGUUACUGACACUAAGGAUAUCCAGCACUAUUAGGCACUGCUUUUUCAACUUCUGACCCGGCAGAGCACUAAAAGCAGUUAGGUUCUGAAUGGCCGGGGUAUACACGUGCUGGCCUCUGCAGUAGGUAGAAAUUUACUUUGGCCAUAUAAAGCCGUUUCACUCGACUCAAAACAGUUGUAGCAUGACAGAUGAUCAAAAAUAGCUCCAGCGCAGCUUACGCUGUCAAUCACCAUGUGUGAAAUGGCAUGGUGGUGAGGAGCCUGCCCAGGGUUUAUGUUUGUUGUAGGGUAAGAUGUGGCAAAUGGGUAAUGUUUCAUAACUUUACCACCUGUUAGUUUCUUGGCUUAAUAAAACAAGUCACAAGAGUUUAAGUGGGAGCACAUGUAUCUUUCUGUCUUGUUCAAGGAUCUGAUCGAGUGUCCUAAUGUCCUAAGAAAAUUCUAGUAACAUCAGUUUAAGACAACACAAGCAAUUAGAUAAGACUUUUUGCUGUGCCAUUUCUGUUAGAAUUAUUCUAUUUCAUAAAUGCCGUAUGUGAAAAUUACUGUGAUGUUGAAUGGACUCUUGCAUGAUGCAGAAGAGGCUCUCAGUGACUUUAAAGCUGCUUUUACUCCUCUUUACUUAAUACUUAAAAAAACCCCAUGAUGUUAUAUUUAUUGAGAUUGUUCUUGGCUGGUGACCAAUACAAAAUGCAUGUUCUCGCUCAUCCAUCUUGUAUGGGGAGCUCAGGUAAUGAUGUGUAUUUAAAUGCACAGAGCCAGCUUAAAUAUGCUUCAAAUGCAGUUCUGGCUAGUCACGUCAUAAAUUAGGUGAGUUUUAAAAACGCAACUUAUUGUUAAAUCUUAUGUUUUCUUUCCCUUCCCACCCCUAUUUGUCAUUCUUUUUUUUUUUUUUUUUUUUUUUUUUCCCAUUCCUCCCUUCAUCCAGUAGCAAGUGAAUUCCAUUGACACGUUGGUUUUUUUAUGAUUGUGGUGCUCCUGUUUCACGCCACUGGGCUCUUCUUUUUCUUAAAGAAGAAAACCAGGCUGUUCCAAAGUCUGGUUUUCAUGUAUGUCAUACUGUUUCUUUGCUAUGAAUCUAGGUGACAGUGUCCCUUCUGACUGAAAUGCUUCCUUGUUGAUCAUUUAAGUAAAUCUUGAUGUCAUUUUAAAAAUUAAAGAACCAAAAAAGCUUUCCAUUAGAACUUGCAGUUGGAGGGCAGAUUGUACUACUGCAGGUUGCAUCUAUGCUACAGUGCACUAAAAGGCUGGUGCAGUCUUCAGAGUUGUCUGUAAAAGUAAAUUGCAUUAUUAAAUAGUAGUAAAUUUGCACGAGCAGUUUUACAUGCAUUUAUAAAGAUUCUCUGUCUGGAAAUGAGUUCCAAACGUGAAGGACUUCUCAGUGGAAAUCCAGACGCAAGACAGAGUUAUGGAUUUUAAGUGAAAAUUAUAUCAGAUGCAUCCUUUAAAAAAACUGCAUUGUGUGAGCAAACAUAACUUUAAGAUGAAUUUGUGUAUACGCUUCUUUUGUGGAGAAGACGGGAAAGUGUGUGUACUGAUUUGUUCAGAAUGGUUACUGCUUAAGCCAUAAAUCUGUUUGCUUUUUUUAAUUUAUUUUUUAUUUUUGCUUUAUUUUAUUUAUUUAU